CUUUUGUGAUUCUUAGAUGCUUCAGAUCCUGCUCCAAGGGAUGUGGGCCCCUGAAACUGGUUGAGUUAAUCUUAGCAAGUUAAGUGUUGUGAUGUCACCUCAGGAAUGCAAUUAAGGCUCAGUCCUGCUCCUGAAGGACCUGUGAAGCAUCACAACACUGGCUGCCAUAAUUGGAGGCAUUGAGGAUGGGUGGGAUGUGGGGCUUGGUGGUGGGUUCGCGGCUCACACAGGUGCCUCCUGCCUGAGCGUUGGGGAAUCUCUGGGAUCAACUACAGGCUGGAUCUGUGGAUUUGGAUACUCACCCCAACAGUGACAGGUCAGUGCCUCUUCCAAGAGAAUUGUGGGGGUGAGGGUUUGUGUUGGAUCUGUGCAGGUUCUAAAAAGCAGAGGUGGGGACAGUUUACCUGUUUGGAGAACACGUACAGUGUGGAUGGGCAUCCCAACAGCACAAUCGUGGCCCAAGGCGGGUGUAGGACUGGAACUGAAAGCAUGCCUUUGGGCUUGUUCCCAAAGACAUGGGUUUGAACGAAGCUCCAAGUGGAUCAUUGUGUGAUCUUGGGGAAAUUACUUAUCCUCUCUGGGUUUCAUUUCCCCCUUAGGAAACUGGGGGUAAAUAUGCUUGCUUUCUAUGGCCCACGUGAGGGUUACGUGGGAUACGGGAUAAUUUGUAUAAAGUGCUUACCUGGUGCCUGGCUGGCUCCAUGAGCGGUGGAAGCAGCAGUUGUCCUGAUUCCUAUCUGUAGAGUCCAGGGAGCACUGCUGAUCUGACAGGGUGAUCUUGUCUCAUCUCCAGAGGAAGUGGGGAGUGGGAGGUCACAGGCAUCAGAGCACCAGAGAGGAGCUGCACAGAGGCUCUGGGAGGGCCAUGGGAAUGUGAGGGCUGAAGGGAUGGUGCUGAUGGCAUGGGGACUCCCUCUGGAGAGGGUGGCACAGUGUGGUGGCAGCAGGAAGAGAGGUGGGAUCCAUGCCCGGGGGAAGGAUAGCAGGGACUGCGGUGGCCCCCCUAACCAGGGUGGGAGUAGGGUGGGGUGGGGUUAGGAAACAUUACUU
rnacentral:lncRNA from 1 species